rnacentral:rRNA from 1 species
UAAGGAAUAUUGGUCAAUGGGCGGAAGCCUGAACCAGCCAUGCCGCGUGCAGGAAGACGGCCCUACGGGUUGUAAACUGCUUUUAUACGGGAAUAAACCUCGAUACGUGUAUCGAGCUGAAUGUACUGUAAGAAUAAGGAUCGGCUAACUCCGUGCCAGCAGCCGCGGUAAUACGGAGGAUCCAAGCGUUAUCCGGAUUUAUUGGGUUUAAAGGGUGCGUAGGUGGCCUGUUAAGUCAGGGGUGAAAGACGGUAGCUCAACUAUCGCAGUGCCCUUGAUACUGAUGGGCUUGAAUACACUAGAGGUAGGCGGAAUGUGACAAGUAGCGGUGAAAUGCAUAGAUAUGUCACAGAACACCAAUUGCGAAGGCAGCUUACUAUGGUGUCAUUGACACUGAGGCACGAAAGCGUGGGGAUCAAACAGG